rnacentral:misc_RNA from 1 species
GAGGGCCCCCCCCAGCCAUUGGACUACCCAUUCUUCCAAGAUUAUUUGACUCAGAGGCAGCAGCUGUUAGAUUUGCUGCAGACCCCAGUCCUCGUCCAAGCACUCUUGAGUCCAUUCCAGGAACCGCCCCCAGCCGAUGCUGCAGCAACAUUUUCAAACAACAUUGGUAGAUUACCAGUGCCAAGUUGGUUAGCCAUCAUAGAAGCCAAUGCCGGAUUGAGAGAGUAUCCACUUAACCCAUAGUUUGGAAGAGAUGAAUUCACAUUAUCUAGAUGCUUAUACCGAGCAGGUAAGCUGCUGCCACUAUUAAGAGUGGAGGUCGGUGAUCCUUUCAUGUAAGAAUUACCAGAAGGAAUGCCCAACUUUUUCACUUCAACCUGCCUUUCAGCUACGAAGUACGAGCUGUUCAGGUCUGACCCACUGCCAUUGCUCCUACCCAAAUCAGAGUAGGAUAUCGUUGUUGAUUGAGUGAGAGAAGGCAUAUGUAAAUGUCUAGACUCGGCCUUCUUUAGGUAUGCAUUUUGCUUCACUUGAUUCUGACCUCCUUGAAGACCAAAGAUAUCAACAUCCUCUCGAUUUUCUUCAUC